AAUUUCAGGGGCUGUUUGGAUAUGAGGUGCUAAACUUUAGCAGUGUCACAUCGAAUGUUCGGAUGCUAAUUAGGAGGACUAAACAUGAGCUAAUUAUAAAACUAAUUGCAGAAUCCCGAGCUAAUUCGCGAGACGAAUCUAUUAAGCCUAAUUAAUCUAUCAUUAGCAAAUGGUUACUGUAGCGCGCACAUUGUCAAAUCAUGGACUAAUUAGGCUUAAUAGAUUCGUCUCGCGAAUUAGACUCCAUCUGUGCAAUUAGUUUUGUAAUUAGCCUAUAUUUAAUACUCCUAAUUAUUAUCCAAACAUCCAAUGUGACAGGUGCUAAACUUUAGCAUGUGGUAUCCAAACACCCCCUCAAU
rnacentral:lncRNA from 1 species